rnacentral:rRNA from 1 species
UACGUAGGGGGCAAGCGUUGUCCGGAUUUAUUGGGCGUAAAGAGCGUGUAGGCGGCCAGACAGGUCAGCUGUGAAAACUCGAGGCUCAACCUCGAGACGUCGGUUGAAACCGUCUGGCUAGAGUCCGGAAGAGGAGAGUGGAAUUCCCGGUGUAGCGGUGAAAUGCGUAGAGAUGUGGAGGAAUACCGAUGGCGAAGGCAGCCCCCUGGGCCAAUACUGACGCUCAUGCACGAAAGCGUGGGGAGCAAACAGG